rnacentral:rRNA from 1 species
GGAUUGGAAAUGGGGGCACCCUGAUCCAGCGACGCCGCGUGUGUGAAGAAGGCCUGCGGGUUGUAAAGCACUUUUAGUGGGGAUGAAAAGCUCAGGGCUAAUACCGCUGAGUCUUGACCUAACCUACAGAAAAAGCACCGGCUAACUCUGUGCCAGCAGCCGCGGUAAUACAGAGGGUGCGAGCGUUAAUCGGAAUUACUGGGCGUAAAGCGUGCGUAGACGGUUUUGUAAGUCGGAUGUGAAAUCCCCGGGCUCAACCUGGGAAUUGCAUUCGAAACUGCAAGGCUUGGGUGCGGAAGAGGGAAGCGGAAUUUCCGGUGUAGCGGUGAAAUGCGUAGAUAUCGGAAGGAACAUCAGUGGCGAAAGCGGCUUCCUGGUCCAGCACCGACGUUCAGGCACGAAAGCGUGGGGAGCAAACAGGAUUAGAUACCCUGGUAGUCCACGCCAUAAACGAUGAGAACUAGACGUUGAGAGGGUAAGCCUCCCAGUGUCGUAGCUAACGCGCUAAGUUCUCCGCCUGGGGAGUACGGCCGCAAGGUUGAAACUCAAAAAAAUUGACGGA